rnacentral:rRNA from 1 species
CCUACGGGGGGCACCAGUGGGGAAUAUUGCACAAUGGGCGCAAGCCUGAUGCAGCCAUGCCGCGUGUAUGAAGGAGGCCUUAGGGUUGUAAAGUACUUUCAGUUGGGAGGAAGGCGUUGAUGCUAAUAUCAUCAACGAUUGACGUUACCAACAGAAGAAGCACCGGCUAACUCCGUGCCAGCAGCCGCGGUAAUACUGAGGGUGCAAGCGUUAAUCGGAAUUACUGGGCGUAAAGCGCACGCAGGCGGUUGAUUAAGUUAGAUGCGAAAUCCCCGGGCUUAACCUGGGAAUGGCAUCUAAGACUGGUCAGCUAGAGUCUUGUAGAGGGGGGUAGAAUUCCAUGUGUAGCGGUGAAAUGCGUAGAGAUGUGGAGGAAUACCGGUGGCGAAGGCGGCCCCCUGGACAAAGACUGGCGCUCAGGUGCGAAAGCGUGGGGAGCAAACAGGAUUAGAUACCCCCGUAGUC